UCCCCGUUAACCGGGGCAGUCCCCCUAGAGUUCCCGGCAUGACCCGUUGGCAACUAGGGGCGAGGGUUGCGCUCGUUGCGGGACUUAACCCAACACCUCACGACACGAGCUGACGACAGCCAUGCACCACCUGUGCACUGGUCCCGAAGGAGGGCCGAUGUUUCCACCGGCUUGCACGUGCAUGCCAAGCCCAGGUAAGGUUCUUCGCGUUGCUUCGAAUUAAACCACAUGCUCCACCGCUUGUGCGGGCCCCCGUCAAUUCCUUUGAGUUUCAGCCUUGCGGCCGUACUCCCCAGGCGGGACACUUACUGCGUUAGCGACGGCACCGAGGGGGUCGCUCCCCCCGACGCCUAGUGUCCAUCGUUUACGGCGUGGACUAC
rnacentral:misc_RNA from 1 species